UUUGAAUGCUUCAAAUGCAUUUUUAAAUAUUUUUACUUUUUAUUUUUAUCAUUUUGAAAUUAAAUAGUACAUGAUAACUUGUCCACCCCUUCCCCCUUUUUGAAAUUAAGUACUUCUUCGCCUAUUUCUUAUCCCUUCCACGUCUUUUGAAAUUAAACAGUUGCUGGCCCUCCCCUUAUCCGUUCCACGUGUUGAGCUAACCCUUGUCCCCUUCACUUAUUUUUGAGAUUAAAUUGUUGGAGGCCCAUCCUUUGUCCCUUCCAUGUGUAAGAAACUUGGCAUAAUACAUUCUUCUUCUUUUGACCCUACCGUACCCUUAAACUUCCAGGC
rnacentral:lncRNA from 1 species